GCAAAUCAUUGUAUUCAGUUUUUAUUCACGAUUUACACAACGUGCCAACUUCACUGGUUUUGUACAAAAUAUGUUGGCGGUUAGCGAUAAACAAAUCCAUAAAUUAGCCGCGCCCGUUUUAUAAGCCGCGGGGUCCAAAAAAAGCGUAGGAAAAAAGUAGCGGCUUGUAGUCCGAAAAAUGGGGUAACUAUUUAUGACACUUAUAUUAAAUAUAUGUCUUCAGUCCGUUUCGAUAUCAACACCCAUCUCUAAUCCUGCCUGCUGUAUCGAGCUCGUCUACUAUUGUUGGUUGUAAAGAUCGUGUUGCCCUGAGACUUUUGCACUGUACUGUAUUUUGUUGUAUCCUACUACUACUACUACUAAUAAUAAUAAUAAUAGGGGCGAGUUGUGACACUGUUAGCGCACCGCUGGUAGCACCUUGGAAGGGUUGGCAGCACCUGGAUGCAACUAUGCUGUUGAUGAUCGGGUCUGAGGAAAGCGUGUUGCCGCCCGCUCCUGGUUCCUGCUGUGGGACUCGGGCUAAACCAGCACUCCUUCCUAGAGGACAGCUCCGUGAAGCCCAGCACCAACUUGUCUUGCCAGCAGGACACAGGCCAGUUACACAAUAGGGCUUUGACCUUUGAACUCAGGACCAUGUUAUGUGUUGUCGUGAGUUUACCGUGCGGGGAAAAAAAAAGCAGGACUCCGUCGUGUCACGGCUCCAUCCGGCACCAACAGGAGCAAUCGCUAUGGCAACAGUCAAACUGAUCUGUGUUCUACUUCAUCCCAAAGGUGUUUGACAGGGUUGAGGUCAGGGCUCUCAACUUCUUCCACAUCCAACUCAUAAUGAUAACGAUCGGGACACUUGACUCGCUCGAGUCACGGGGCGCGUGCAAGUUCGUACAUUGAGUCGAACGCCGUUUGGAACAUGUUGGCUGGUCUCCUUUUUUUUUGGAUUAAGCUAGCGGUCGCAGGGGCGAGUAAGUGAGGGAGUUAACGGAGACCAGUACCCGCGAGUCAGGUUUGGUUGAACAAGAGCAGUGGUUCUCAAACUUUUUUUUACCAAGUAUCACCUCGGAAACCACUUGGCUCUCCAAGAAACGCCCUAAUGACCAUUAAUAAAAUACAGUAGCGUAGUAGGGCGAAGUAUUCAUUAAAAACAAGUCAGGGUUUUAUUUAAACAAGUAUAUUCAAUAUUUUUGCCCCCGGUUUGAAAAGUAACACUGUGUUUGAAUACAGGAAAACAAAACACUACUUUAAUCAAGUUAUUCUUUGGCGUACCACUAGAUGGAGCCCACGUACCACAGUUUGAGAAUCACUGGUCUGGACUGUCAAACAAUGAGCUGUUAAGAACCAGGCGUAUGAUAUUUCCAUCCUCUCGAUACAUGACUGAGCAAACACAAAGAGGACACGUCCUGCACUGGGCCGGAUGACGUGCGUCCUCACAGCCAUGCGGGGGCGCUGUUUUGCCAGUUUGUUUUUUUCCUCCCAACAGUGCUGCUAGUUUUUAAUGAAGGUAAAACUGAAUUAUGAAUUAUACCUUACACAAGUGAUAUUUCAAACGAUACGGACAAGGAGUGAUACUGUGUAUUUUGAUACCUCGAUGUGUGUGUCACUUUAAAAGACAAAAACAAAAAAAACAACACCACGUGACCGAUACAGCUGCUUUGUCAUUUGACUGUUUUUAUCAGAGGGCGCUUCUGAGCGUGCGAGCGACAGCUCGUACGGCAAGGAGUGGCGUGCUGCUUUUGACAUCGGUUUACAUGACAGAGUUUGGAUUUGAUAUCGCCAAAUAAGAUGGUGCCAUUACGAAACACCAACACAGUGUCAGUGCAGCGUCAAUACAGCCAUGGAUAUUUGUGGUGACACGGCUGUGAUGAAGAGGAGUAAAAAUGACAAAUAUAUAGCACACAAUGAAUCCCAGGCACUUUCACUACAGCGCAGAGCCAGUGGUCUCUUCUCUUUGUUUGUUUUCUAUCAUGUAUAUGCAAUGUUCAUGAAAACAGAUGUUAUUCAUUAAAAAAAA